rnacentral:rRNA from 1 species
UGGGGAAUAUUGGGCAAUGGGCGCAAGCCUGACCCAGCAACGCCGCGUGAAGGAAGAAGGCUUUCGGGUUGUAAACUUCUUUUAAGAGGGAAGAGCAGAAGACGGUACCUCUUGAAUAAGCCACGGCUAACUACGUGCCAGCAGCCGCGGUAAUACGUAGGUGGCAAGCGUUGUCCGGAUUUACUGGGUGUAAAGGGCGUGCAGCCGGGAAGACAAGUCAGAUGUGAAAUCCCGCGGCUCAACCGCGGAACUGCAUUUGAAACUGUUUUUCUUGAGUACCGGAGAGGUCAUCGGAAUUCCUUGUGUAGCGGUGAAAUGCGUAGAUAUUGGGAGGAACACCAGUGGCGAAGGCGGCUUACUGGACGGUAACUGACGUUGAGGCUCGAAAGCGUGGGGAGCAAACAGGAUUAGAUACC